rnacentral:tRNA from 1 species
AGAAAUAUGUCUGAUAAAAGAGUUACUUUGAUAGAGUAAAUCAUAGAGGUUUAAAUCCUCUUGUUUCUG